AGAGUUUGAUCCUGGCUCAGAUUGAACGCUGGCGGCAUGCUUUACACAUGCAAGUCGGACGGCAGCACAGGGAAGCUUGCUUCUCGGGUGGCGAGUGGCGAACGGGUGAGUAACAUAUCGGAACGUACCGGGUAGCGGGGGAUAACUGAUCGAAAGAUCAGCUAAUACCGCAUACGUCUUGAGAGGGAAAGCAGGGGACCUUCGGGCCUUGCGCUAUCCGAGCGGCCGAUAUCUGAUUAGCUGGUUGGCGGGGUAAAGGCCCACCAAGGCGACGAUCAGUAGCGGGUCUGAGAGGAUGAUCCGCCACACUGGGACUGAGACACGGCCCAGACUCCUACGGGAGGCAGCAGUGGGGAAUUUUGGACAAUGGGCGCAAGCCUGAUCCAGCCAUGCCGCGUGUCUGAAGAAGGCCUUCGGGUUGUAAAGGACUUUUGUCAGGGAAGAAAAGGCCGUUGCCAAUAUCGGCGGCCGAUGACGGUACCUGAAGAAUAAGCACCGGCUAACUACGUGCCAGCAGCCGCGGUAAUACGUAGGGUGCGAGCGUUAAUCGGAAUUACUGGGCGUAAAGCGGGCGCAGACGGUUACUUAAGCAGGAUGUGAAAUCCCCGGGCUCAACCCGGGAACUGCGUUCUGAACUGGGUGACUCGAGUGUGUCAGAGGGAGGUGGAAUUCCACGUGUAGCAGUGAAAUGCGUAGAGAUGUGGAGGAAUACCGAUGGCGAAGGCAGCCUCCUGGGAUAACACUGACGUUCAUGUCCGAAAGCGUGGGUAGCAAACAGGAUUAGAUACCCUGGUAGUCCACGCCCUAAACGAUGUCAAUUAGCUGUUGGGCAACUUGAUUGCUUGGUAGCGUAGCUAACGCGUGAAAUUGACCGCCUGGGGAGUACGGUCGCAAGAUUAAAACUCAAAGGAAUUGACGGGGACCCGCACAAGCGGUGGAUGAUGUGGAUUAAUUCGAUGCAACGCGAAGAACCUUACCUGGUUUUGACAUGUGCGGAAUCCUCCGGAGACGGAGGAGUGCCUUCGGGAGCCGUAACACAGGUGCUGCAUGGCUGUCGUCAGCUCGUGUCGUGAGAUGUUGGGUUAAGUCCCGCAACGAGCGCAACCCUUGUCAUUAGUUGCCAUCAUUCGGUUGGGCACUCUAAUGAGACUGCCGGUGACAAGCCGGAGGAAGGUGGGGAUGACGUCAAGUCCUCAUGGCCCUUAUAACCAGGG
rnacentral:rRNA from 1 species